CACAGACAAAAGUCUUCAGCUUAAAUUAGCCAGUGCUUUAACUCUGAGCUUGCUGGUCCAGCAGCACAGUUCAAACACCGGUGAUUCUCGUGCUGACAAUGCAGCAAAGCCUUUGCUAAUGCACACUGCUAACCACAGUAUCCCUGCUGCUCUACUGGAAGAACAUAAAAAGAGGAAAAAGAAAAAAAAGAGGUUGCACUAAGUCAGCCUACAGAUGAUCUACCGAGUGUCCUGCCUCUAAGCAGUGGCCAGAUAACAGCCUUGAAACGGGGCAGUGCAGAGCAGCACUGCUCAAGAAUACUCCCUCAGCUUCCAGCAGCUGCAGGUUGGGGAUUUCCUGAGCCAAAGGUGGUGUCUGUGUGGUUAAUAAGCCUCUGCAUUUUUUUGUCAGUGCAACAAAACAAACUGAAUAAGCCUUAAGUGGAAAGAUAACUUAAGGACUUCGAAAGCUAAAAGAAGAAAUAAAGUUAAAGGACUGGCAGAAUGAGAAACUGGACUGUCCCUGGCAUGAAUAAAAAAGAAAGCCCUCGCACAGAACUUCAGUCCAAGUUUUAGACUAUUCACAACCCUCCGAGAAUCAGCAUUUCCCAUCAGUUCUCCCUAUUCAGGUCAUGUAAUCACCAGAUAAGAACCCGAGAGGCAGAGCUGGUACUCAGAAGUUCAAAGGUAUCAGCUAAGAGAAGAAUGCGGAUUCUCCAGCACCAGGAGCCAACGAUUCUGUGUUUGCACUGAAGUAUUUCAAAAGAAUAAUUUUGUGCAGACUCAAAUGUUUAAGGCGAUCAUAGCUCAGCUGGCAACUCAUUACGCUUUGGUCUUUUUAAUAUUGUAUUUACCACUGACAAUAUGUAAAAGAAAAUGAAAACUCGUGUUUAUGUUGCUUUUUUUCUACUGUUUUCCAGAUCUACAGAGUUCAACAAAAUGCAGCAGGGAUUUGGUACAACCACGCUGUAUCGAAGCUUUUGUUGAUGAAGCUUUAACCACGUAAUAGGGCACAGCCCUCCUCCAAAGGAAGAGAUUGAUUUUUUCCUUGAUUUUUUCUGCACAUUAAGCUUUUGAAGAAACUAAGAAUUUUUUUUUUAAAUACCUGAUUUCCCUUCAACACCAGUAUCACUCUUAGUGCUUUCCAGAAACUCCCUAAAAGUCCCCUCCUGUAAUAGGAGAUCAGCAAACACAAAAACUGUCCUGAGUUCAGGUGCUACAAAUGUAAGCACCAGAAAGUUCCUACCUAUCUACUCUCACCAUCACAUCCUACCAGAUCUUAAGACGUGCUCUGUUCUCUUCACCUGUCAGAAGGGGAAAGAAGCUGUCUUCUCACUGCUUUCUACAAUUUCUCAACAGCAGAGAGUUAACACUGCAGUAAGCAUCAUUGGAGUGGUGAAUAAUUAGCAGUGCUAAUGCAAUGCAAGCUGACAGGAUGCAGUACAAAGUCAAGCUCUACAGCCUGCUGAAGUUACUGCUCCGUAAAUGCUGCACAGUUCCAUGCUCCUACUUCUGGCUGGACCCUGCCAAACCUGGCUCCCGUCGGCAGUCCUCCUGCAGGAGGCCUACCUACGGAGUGAGGUUACUCACACCAGAAGGAAUUUGCAGGUCUAGCCCCCUCCAGCUUGAUUUAUAAGCAUGAAGCACAUGAGUCUAGCAGGAAUUUAACACUUACGCUUCCACAGUUGUUCUUACAGUCUGUUCGUCACAGUCUUCGUCUGAGCUGCUACACGUUGCAUCCGAGUCCAGGUCCUUCUCCACACGAGACAGCAGCCCUCCGGUAGAAAGUGCAAAGCCCCGGAUUUCCCCCGGAGCAACACAAACUCCGUUCUGUACAUCCGCACUGGAACUAC